rnacentral:rRNA from 1 species
GACGAACGCUGGCGGCGUGCUUAACACAUGCAAGUCGAACGGGAUUUAGUAAACAGAAACCUCGGUGGAAGAUUACUAAUGAGAGUGGCGAACGGGUGAGUAACGCGUGAGCAACCUGCCUAUGACAGUGGGAUAGCCUCGGGAAACCGGGAUUAAUACCGCAUAAAAUCGUAGAAACACAUGUUUUAACGGUCAAAGAUUUAUCGGUCAUAGAUGGGCUCGCGUCUGAUUAGCUAGUUGGUGAGAUAACAGCCCACCAAGGCGACGAUCAGUAGCCGGUAAGAGAGGAUGAACGGACACAUUGGAACUGAGACACGGUCCAAACUACUACGGGAGGCAGCAGUGGGGAAUAUUGCAAAAUGGGGGAAACCCUGAUGCAGCGACGCCGCGUGAACGAAGAAGGUAUUCGUAUCGUAAAGUUCUGUCCUAUGGGAAGAUAAUGACAGUACCAUAGAAGAAAGCUCCGGCUAAAUACGUG